GAGUUUGAUCAUGGCUCAGAUUGAACGCUGGCGGCAUGCUUUACACAUGCAAGUCGAACGGUAACGCGGGGGCAACCCUGGCGACGAGUGGCGAACGGGUGAGUAAUACAUCGGAACGUGUCCUGGAGUGGGGGAUAGCUCGGCGAAAAGCCGGAUUAAUACCGCAUACGACCUGAGGGUGAAAGCGGGGGAUCGCAAGACCUCGCGCUAUUGGAGCGGCCGAUGUCAGAUUAGCUAGUUGGUGGGGUAAAGGCCCACCAAGGCAACGAUCUGUAGUUGGUCUGAGAGGACGACCAGCCACACUGGGACUGAGACACGGCCCAGACUCCUACGGGAGGCAGCAGUGGGGAAUUUUGGACAAUGGGCGCAAGCCUGAUCCAGCAAUGCCGCGUGCAGGAAGAAGGCC
rnacentral:rRNA from 1 species